CUCCUUUGAAGUUAGCGGCGGACGGGUGAGUAACACGUGGGUAACCUACCUAUAAGACUGGGAUAACUUCGGGAAACCGGAGCUAAUACCGGAUAACAUUUAGAACCGCAUGGUUCUAAAGUGAAAGAUGGUUUUGCUAUCACUUAUAGAUGGACCCGCGCCGUAUUAGCUAGUUGGUAAGGUAACGGCUUACCAAGGCGACGAUACGUAGCCGACCUGAGAGGGUGAUCGGCCACACUGGAACUGAGACACGGUCCAGACUCCUACGGGAGGCAGCAGUAGGGAAUCUUCCGCAAUGGGCGAAAGCCUGACGGAGCAACGCCGCGUGAGUGAUGAAGGGUUUCGGCUCGUAAAACUCUGUUAUUAGGGAAGAACAAAUGUGUAAGUAACUGUGCACAUCUUGACGGUACCUAAUCAGAAAGCCACGGCUAACUACGUGCCAGCAGCCGCGGUAAUACGUAGGUGGCAAGCGUUAUCCGGAAUUAUUGGGCGUAAAGCGCGCGUAGGCGGUUUCUUAAGUCUGAUGUGAAAGCCCACGGCUCAACCGUGGAGGGUCAUUGGAAACUGGGAAACUUGAGUGCAGAAGAGGAAAGUGGAAUUCCAUGUGUAGCGGUGAAAUGCGCAGAGAUAUGGAGGAACACCAGUGGCGAAGGCGACUUUCUGGUCUGUAACUGACGCUGAUGUGCGAAAGCGUGGGGAUCAAACAGGAUUAGAUACCCUGGUAGUCCACGCCGUAAAACGAUGAGUGCUAAGUGUUAGGGGGUUUCCGCCCCUUAGUGCUGCAGCUAACGCAUUAAGCACUCCGCCUGGGGAGUACGACCGCAAGGUUGAAACUCAAAGGAAUUGACGGGGACCCGCACAAGCGGUGGAGCAUGUGGUUUAAUUCGAAGCAACGCGAAGAACCUUACCAAAUCUUGACAUCCUUUGAAAACUCUAGAGAUAGAGCCUUCCCCUUCGGGGGACAAAGUGACAGGUGGUGCAUGGUUGUCGUCAGCUCGUGUCGUGAGAUGUUGGGUUAAGUCCCGCAACGAGCGCAACCCUUAAGCUUAGUUGCCAUCAUUAAGUUGGGCACUCUAGGUUGACUGCCGGUGACAAACCGGAGGAAGGUGGGGAUGACGUCAAAUCAUCAUGCCCCUUAUGAUUUGGGCUACACACGUGCUACAAUGGACAAUACAAAGGGCAGCUAAACCGCGAGGUCAUGCAAAUCCCAUAAAGUUGUUCUCAGUUCGGAUUGUAGUCUGCAACUCGACUACAUGAAGCUGGAAUCGCUAGUAAUCGUAGAUCAGCAUGCUACGGUGAAUACGUUCCCGGGUCUUGUACACACCGCCCGUCACACCACGAGAGU
rnacentral:rRNA from 1 species